CCAGACUCCUACGGGAGGCAGCAGUGAGGAAUAUUGGUCAAUGGGCGGGAGCCUGAACCAGCCAAGUCGCGUGAGGGACGACGGUCCUAUGGAUUGUAAACCUCUUUUGUCGGGGAACAAAGGCGCCCACGGGUGGGCGGAUGAGUGUACCCGAAGAAAAAGCAUCGGCUAACUCCGUGCCAGCAGCCGCGGUAAUACGGAGGAUGCGAGCGUUAUCCGGAUUUAUUGGGUGUAAAGGGAGCGUAGACGGCUGUGCAAGUCUGAAGUGAAAGCCCAGGGCUCAACCCUGGGACUGCUUUGGAAACUGUGGAGCUAGAGUGCUGGAGAGGUAAGUGGAAUUCCUAGUGUAGCGGUGAAAUGCGUAGAUAUUAGGAGGAACACCAGUGGCGAAGGCGGCUUACUGGACAGUAACUGACGUUGAGGCUCGAAAGCGUGGGGAGCAAACAGGAUUAGAUACCCCGGUAUU
rnacentral:rRNA from 1 species